CAGCUGUGGGAAAACAAGUCUUGUCACAGUGGGGCCCUCAGCUUCUCUGUAACACUAGAGACUCCUGCAAAGCCCUGGGCUCAAGUGAGGUGGGUCCUGAAAACAGUCCAAAGAGAAGCAGACGAAGGCUCAGUGUGGGUCAGGGUGUGAGUGUGGGGCUGCCCCACUCACUCACUGUCUCUCAGGCCAUGGUUACCUACAGACCCAGGUGGGCUUCCUCAAGGAGGUGCUGCCUGAACUGGGUACGAUAAGGAAGGGAGGAAAGGUUUCAGCCAGGGAGGAACGGCAUGUGCAAAGAUAGAGAGGCAUGAAAUAGCAUAGCUCAGUGCACAAACCUUCAGGGAGUCUGGAGUGGCUGGAAAGUACAGGGUGGGUGGGAGAUGAGAGUGAAUCAUAGAAACGAAGUCAGGGGCCCUAAUAAACCAAUCACAAUGCUUGUUUCGGGGGUUUAACAAGAGUCAUGUAGCCAUAUAUGAACUUCUAAAACACAAAGAAUGGAUUGGAGGGAUCUGUCUUUGAAAGCAAGAUGUUAUUGCAGUAAUCGGCAUAAGAAGUAAUGAAAGGAGACAGUAGCCACAGGAAGAGAGGAAAACAAUAUGUGGAGAUGUGUUAGUGACAGCAUUGACCUUGGUGACCAGUUACUAUCAUCUGACAUUUGAUGAGUGCUCGCUAUGUACUGCAUGGUGUGCUAAAGAAGUGUGUUAACUCAGUCAACCUCUACAACCACCAACCAUUAUCCCCAGUUUACAUGUAAUGAAACUGACGCACAAAGGGGUGAAAUGAUACGUCCAGCAUCACACAGCUUGGAAGCUGAAGAUCUGAGGUUCAACCUGUUCAACUCUUAACUCAUCAUUUUCCUCCCCAAUAUUGGUUCUCCCUUGGUUCUUCCUGGCAUCACCAGCCCUCACACCAGAAGUCUCAGAGCUCCAGUUUCAGUGCCUGUAGGGCACCCAAGUUGGCUGGAACCUUGGAGAACAGGUUGGAGGAUACUGUCCCAGAAACAAAGAGAAGAAAGAGCUUUAAGAGGAUGAAACGGUCAGCCUGGCCUAAAGCAGCAGGGAGGUCUAGCAAGAUAAAGACUAAAACACUGAGCAACAGAAAAGUUGAUGCUGAAUUCCACCCCAACACUUUUAGCGGAGAGGUGGAGGAAAGCAAACUUUAGAUCAGGGUGGGAAUGAGAAGGGGAGGAAAGGUCAGGAGGCAGCAACUUAGAUCCUGGAAAAUAUUUCCAUGAAGCUUGGCUUUAAAGGAAGGGAGAUCUGAUCACAAGGUCUAGCGGAGUGUUUACUGUUGUCACUUCUGGUUUUUUAAGCACUGAACACAACCAUGCUUAGAGCCUGAGGACCGGGAGAAGACGGGAGAGCUGAAGGAAUGCAUUUCCCAAUAAGAUGUGAGGCCAUGGAAUCCAGCAAUGGUGGCAGGGGCUAGGGGCCACCUGUGGAAGGAAGAGAGAGGAAAUGUGGCAAAAAUGGGUUAAAAAGUUCUAGUUAAAGGGCCAAGAAGUUGAGUGAGUCCCACCUGAUGGCCUCUAUUCACUCAGUAAAGAAGGGAACCAUCUGCUGAAAAUGCACGCGGGGUUAGGAAAGGAGAGCCAGUUGCGACGUUUUCAGGAAUUCUCGGAGUGAGUUAUCAGAUGCAGCCACUAAAAUGGAGGCCCUGGCAAGAGUAGUUACACCACAGAAACUGACACAGGCUUUUUUGUUUGUUUCCCGAGAACCACACCCCUGGAUGAGGGGUUUGAAUAAAGAGAGAGCUCCAAAAGGGGGUGAGGACAAUGAAGGAGGCAGUUAGGAGGACCCUAUGCAGAAGGACCCAGAAUCACCAAGGAAGCCCCUUCCCCAGCAGCUCAGCAGAUGCAAAACUCUUCUAAGACCUCGGAGUUGGCUGGGUUGCCCAAGGAGCCAUAUAAAGUUGACCAGAAGGUUGGCAGUUCUUGCUGUAAGGAUGGGGAUGGUGAGUCAUUUGGCUGGUGGUGAACGUGUAACUCUGAGAGGUUGAGUGACUUGCCCAAGGUCACACAGUGGACAAAUGACUGGACCUCAAGCACCCUGGCCUUCUCCCGGCCCCACCUCAGCAAGCCAGCCUCCUGGAGCUCUGCCAGAGUCCCCACACCCUGACAGUCUCUGGUCGUAACUGGAUCUGGAUCCCAGCCCUCCCACUCAGGAGCGAGAAUCAAGAGCGGGCGCAAAACCUCCUUCCACUCUGAGCAUCUUCUGUGGUGAACAGUUCGUGUUUUUACAUUCUCCUUUUCAUCACAGCCCUCCACUGAAUUUUGAAAAGCCUCCUCAAAAGACAGUGGUGUAGUUGUUGACUCUGGGGAGGGAGGGGGUGUUACAAUGACACUUUGGCUGUAUUUUUUUUUUAAGGGAGUCUUUUAGAGAUCUAGACUGAAAUAUUUAUAGAUGAAAUGCUAUGAUGUCUUGGAUUUACUUCAGAACAACCCAGGCCUGGCUGUGGGAGGAGGCAUGGCUGGGGGUGCUGAGCAAACAAGACUGGCUGAGAUUGAGAACUGUUAAGACUGAGCGACGGGGACACGGGGUUCAUUCUGCUCUUCUCCAUACUUUUGGAUAUACGGUUUGAAAUUUUCCAUAAGAAAAGCCAGUUGACUGGUGGGGUUGUUAGCAAAAAGCAGAAGCCAUUGUGGGCUUUGUGCAUUGACAUAAAAUGUUCAGGACGAGGGAGGGGUGGUCUGAGAAACCCCACCUGGAGGGCUGUGCUCCAUUCUGGCCCACACGUUGUGCGAGGCCUUAAACAGGCAGAGGCAGGUCUAGAGGGGGCCACGGUGAAGGGACUCCAGAUUCUGACUCACUGGUCUCAGCUAGAGAGGAAAGACUUCGAGGGGGCAGGAAGAGCUGUUCUCACGCACAGAGGGCUAUCUGGGGAGAGGGGUUCUUUGUCCACACUCACCCUCUGUAGGCUCUGCCCUGUGGCCAAGCGUUUCCUCUGAGCCCCACCUGCCCCCUCCCAGACCCUACACUACUCUUCCCCUCCUCCCAGCCUCGGCCAAGAGGAGGCAACAUAACCCGGCCAGCCAAGCGCGGCCCCGCCAGCUCUGUAAGUCACAGACAACAUGAAUCUGCUUCCCUCCCUUAGCCUAAAACAUCCUGUUCCCUACGUGUCUGCGAUGAGGUCUAACUUGGCUCCCAAACCCCUCCAGGGAAGAGGCUGGGCCGAGGGCUGUUCUCCACAUCACACAGCAAUAAUCUCUCACAUCUGGACAGAACUGCACCCUGGGCCGCACCGCACAACUGUCUGUGAGCUCAUCCAGCCUCCCAGCGGGCUCCGGGAGAGAGAGCUGGGGCAGAGCCAGAGCCGGGACCGGGCCCGCACCACGGCCUGCACCGCUGUGUCCCCACCCCGGCGGGGCCUCAGUGUCCAUCUCAACAGAUCUCAACGCACGACAGCAGGAAACACACCGGUGACCCCCCACUCUCCACCAGGCUCAGCCACAGAUGGGUGUGAGCCCCUGGGAGCCUUCCUCUCCCUGAGCCCCUGCUGCCCACUCUGGACCCCAGGGUGGGGAGGGCAGAGGUGCUGCCGGCCCAAAUGUAGUUCCUCCGUGAUCCGGCUCUGUCUUUCAAGCCUCAGAACUUAGCUGCGAGGACAGAACCAGGAUGAGUCAAGGACAAGCUGCCAAGAACUAGGCAGGAACUUCCUUUACUUCUUGCUUCCUCACUAGUGGGAAGGGGCUCCCGGUCAUGCCAGCUUCACGGGGCUUUGGGGAAGCUCAAAACAGGGCAGGAGGCAAGGAGGCUGAAGGAUUAUCACGCUCGGCCGUGGGCAGCCAAGGCUGUGGUUCCCAGUGUUCCCUUCCUGCCUUCGCUCCCGCCCUCCCGGCCCCGGCCAGUUGGGAAAUGGACCUUCUUGGAUGCCGGGUUGUUUUCCCUGGCCUGGCUCCUGCUCAGGGCCUAUGUGUGCCCUGGAUGGUGGCCAAGGGUGGAACAUGGUGAGAGCGGGCUGCCGGUGGAGGCCAGAGGCCCAGGGAGGCACUGGGCUAACUUCUCCAGUUAAAGGGACAUCCUCUGGGCCCCCAUUCUCUGAGUGGGCAGCACAGCCCUCUCUACUGACAGGCAGAGGAGACCUUUGUCUCUGCAUCCAAACACUGAGAAGGCGCACAUAACUCAAAUGACUCCUGACCCUGAAAGGUGCUGCCGUGCCUCUGAACAUCAAAGACAGCCUUUGCUUUGACCGGUCCCACUUGUCACUUGGGGGUUAAUUCUAUUUGACCACAUUCAAUAUAAUAGCGUAAUAAAUUUUACCACAUUCAA